AGGAUGGACCCGCGUCUGAUUAGCUAGUUGGUAAGGUAACGGCUUACCAAGGCGACGAUCAGUAGCCGACCUGAGAGGGUGAUCGGCCACAUUGGAACUGAGACACGGUCCAAACUCCUACGGGAGGCAGCAGUGGGGAAUAUUGCACAAUGGGCGAAAGCCUGAUGCAGCAACGCCGCGUGAGCGAUGAAGGCCUUCGGGUCGUAAAGCUCUGUCCUCAAGGAAGAUAAUGACGGUACUGAGGAGAAGCCCCGC
rnacentral:rRNA from 1 species